rnacentral:misc_RNA from 1 species
GAUGAAGAACGCAGCGAAAUGCGAUACGUAAUGUGAAUUGCAGAAUUCAGUGAAUCAUCGAAUCUUUGAACGCAUAUUGCGCUCUCUGGUAUUCCGGAGAGCAUGCUUGUUUGAGUAUCAGUAAACACCUCAACUCUUUUUUCUUUUUUGAAAUUGGAGCUGGACUUGAGUGAUCCCAACGCUUUCUUCCAAGAAAGUGGCGGGUUGCUUGAAAUGCAGGUGCAGCUGAACUGUUCUCUGAGCUAUAAGCAUAUCUAUUUAGUCUGCCUAAAAAACAGAUUAUUACCUUUGCUGCAGCUAACAUAAAGGAGACUAGUUCUUGUGCUGACUGAUGCAGGAUUCACAGAGACAGCUUCGGCUUACUUUGUAAACUCGAUCUCAAAUCAAGUAAGACUACCCGCUGAACUUAAGCAUAUCAAUAAGCGGAGGA